rnacentral:rRNA from 1 species
CUGGCGGCACGCCUAACACAUGCAAGUCGAACGCAGUAGCAAUACUGAGUGGCAGACGGGUGAGUAUAAUGUGGGAAUCUGCCUUUUUGGCUCGGAAUAACAAGAGGAAACUUUUGCUAAUACCGGAUAAGCCUUUACAGGGAAAGUUUUAAUGCCAAAAGAUGAGCCCGCACUUGAUUAGCUAGUUGGUAAGGUAAUGGCUUACCAAGGCAACGAUCAAUAGCUGUUCUUAGAGGAAGACCAGCCACAUUGGGACUGAGACACGGCCCAAACUCC